CUCUAAUGAGACUGCCGGUGACAAACCGGAGGAAGGUGGGGAUGACGUCAAGUCCUCAUGGCCCUUAUAGGUGGGGCUACACACGUCAUACAAUGGAUGGUACAAAGGGUCGCCAACCGCAGGGGGAGCCAAUCCCAUAAAGCCAUUCGUAGUCCGGAUCGCAGUCUGCAACUCGACUGCGUGAAGUCGGAAUCGCUAGUAAUCGUGGAUCAGAAUGUCACGGUGAAUACGUUCCCGAGUCUU
rnacentral:rRNA from 1 species